rnacentral:rRNA from 1 species
UGAGGAACAUGACCUUCGGCGGGGGAUAGCCGGCCCAACGGCCGGGUAAUACCGCGUACGACCACAUGGGGACAUCCCUGAGUGGUGAAAGCAGCUAUGCGCCGAUGGAGUGCCUCGCGGCCUAUCAGCUAGUUGGUGAGGUAACGGCUCACCAAGGCAACGACGGGUAGCUGGUCUGAGAGGAUGGCCAGCCACAUUGGGACUGAGACACCGGCCCAGACUCUACGGGAG